UUCCGGUUGAUCCUGCCGGAGGCUACCGCUAUUGGAGUUCGAUUAAGCCAUGCGAGUCGCGAGUCUUAGGGACUCGGCGUACCGCUCAGUAACACGUGGGUAACCUGCCCUAUGCUGGGGGAUAACCUCGGGAAACUGAGAAUAAUACCCCAUAGUUCACCACGCCUGGAACGGUGGGUGGAUCAAAGCUCCGGCGGCAUAGGAUGGGCCUGCGGCGUAUCAGGUUGUAGGGGGUGUAAUGUACCCUCUAGCCCUCUACGCGUACGGGUGUUGAGAGACAUCGCCCGGAGAUGGAUUCUGAGACACGAAUCCAGACCCUACGGGGUGCAGCAGGCGCGAAAACUUGGCAAUGCGAGAAAUCGUGACCAGGGAACUCCAAGUGGCUGGGGUAAGACCCAGUCUUUUCUUGACUCUUCAAAGGUCUUGGAAUAAGAGGUGGGUAAGGACGGUGCCAGCCGCCGCGGUAAUACCGGCGCCUCAAGUGGUAGUCGCUUUUAUUGGGCCUAAAACGUCCGUAGCCGGUCUGGUACAUUCGUGGGUAAAUCAACCCGCUCAACGGGUUGAAUUCUGCGAGCACGGCCAGACUUGGGACCGGGAGAGGUGUGGGGUACUCUCAGGGUAGGGGUAAAAUCCUGUCAUCCUGAGAGGACCACCUGUUGCGAAGGCGCCACACUAGAACGGAUCCGACGGUCAGGGACGAAACCUAGGGGCACGAACCGGAUUAGAUACCCGGGUAGUCCUAGGUGUAAACGCUGUGGACUUGAUGUUGGGGGCGCUCCGAGCGCUUUCAGUGUCGAAGCGAAGGUGAUAAGUCCACUGCCUGGGGAGUACGGUCGCAAGGCUGAAACUUAAAGGAAUUGGCGGGGGAGCACUGCAACCUGAGGAUUGUGCGGUUUAAUUGGAUUCAACGCCGGA
rnacentral:rRNA from 1 species